rnacentral:rRNA from 1 species
GACGAACGCUGUCGGCGCGCCUAAUACAUGCAAGUUGAACGCUUCUUUCUUAUCGAACUUCGGUUCACCAAGAAAGAAGAGUAGCGAACGGGUGAGUAACACGUGGGUAACCUGCCCAUCAGUGGGGGAUAACACUUGGAAACAGGUGCUAAUACCGCAUAAUACUUUUUCUCUCAUGAGUGAAAGUUGAAAGGCGCUUUUGCGUCACUAAUGGAUGGACCCGCGGUGCAUUAGCUAGUUGGUAGGGUAACGGCCUACCAAGGCAACGAUGCAUAGCCGACCUGAGAGGGUGAUCGGCCACACUGGGACUGAGACACGGCCCAGACUCCUACGGGAGGCAGCAGUAGGGAAUCUUCGGCAAUGGACGAAAGUCUGACCGAGCAACGCCGCGUGUGUGAAGAAGGUUUUCGGAUCGUAAAACUCUGUUGUUAGAGAAGAACAAGGAUGAGAAGGGAAUGUUCAUCCCUUGACGGUAUCUAACCAGAAAGCCACGGCUAACUACGUGCCAGCCGCCGCGGUAA